ACACCUUUAGCCGUGUCAGAC
rnacentral:miRNA from 1 species